rnacentral:rRNA from 1 species
UACGGAGGGUGCGAGCGUUGUCCGGAAUCACUGGGCGUAAAGGGCGCGUAGGCGGCAUGCCAAGCGUGUGGUGAAAGCCCGGGGCUCAACCCCGGGUCGGCCGUGCGGACUGGCGUGCUCGAGCACUGUAGGGGCGGGUGGAAUUCCGGGUGUAGCGGUGGAAUGCGUAGAGAUCCGGAAGAACACCGGUGGCGAAGGCGGUGCUCUGGGCCAGUACUGACGCUGAGGAGCGAAAGCGUGGGGAGCAAACAGG